GCUUUGGUGGCCUAGUUUUUAGAGCGUCCACCUCGGAUGUGGGAGGUCGCGAGUUGGAGCCCCGGCCGAGUCG